UGGCGAACGGGUGAGUAACACGUGAGUAACCUGCCCUUGACUUUGGGAUAACUUCAGGAAACUGGGGCUAAUACCGGAUAGGAGCUCCUGCUGCAUGGUGGGGGUUGGAAAGUUUCGGCGGUUGGGGAUGGACUCGCGGCCUAUCAGCUUGUUGGUGGGGUAGUGGCUUACCAAGGCUUUGACGGGUAGCCGGCCUGAGAGGGUGACCGGCAACAUUGGGACUGAGAUACGGCCCAG
rnacentral:rRNA from 1 species